rnacentral:rRNA from 1 species
CACGUAGGGCGCGAGCGUUGUCCGGAAUUAUUGGGCGUAAAGAGCUCGUAGGCGGCCUGUUGCGUCCGCUGUGAAAGCCCGGGGCUUAACCCCGGGUCUGCAGUGGAUACGGGCAGGCUAGAGGUAGGUAGGGGAGAAUGGAAUUCCCGGUGUAGCGGUGAAAUGCGUAGAUAUCUGGAGGAACACCGGUGGCGAAGGCGGCAUCCUGGACCAUGACUGACGCUGAGGAGCGAAAGCCAGGGGAGCAAACGGG